rnacentral:rRNA from 1 species
GACGAACGCUGGCGGCGUGCUUAACACAUGCAAGUCGAACGGAAAGGCCUCUUUCGGGGGGUACUCGAGUGGCGAACGGGUGAGUAACACGUGAGUAACCUGCCCUUGACUUUGGGAUAACUUCAGGAAACUGGGGCUAAUACCGGAUAGGAGCUCCUGCUGCAUGGUGGGGGUUGGAAAGUUUCGGCGGUUGGGGAUGGACUCGCGGCUUAUCAGCUUGUUGGUGGGGUAGUGGCUUACCAAGGCUUUGACGGGUAGCCGGCCUGAGAGGGUGACCGACCACAUUGGGACUGAGAUACGGCCCAGACUCCUACGGGAGGCAGCAGUGGGGAAUAUUGCACAAUGGGUGGAAGCCUGAUGCAGCAACGCCGUGUGCGGGAUGACGGCCUUCGGGUUGUAAACCGCUUUCGCUCAUGACGAAGCUUUGUGUGACGGUAGUGGGUAAAGAAGCACCGGCUAACUACGUG